rfam:Triticum urartu cultivar G1812 contig372121, whole genome shotgun sequence.
CGUUAGAGCAUUGAGAGGACCUUUCCCUAGUACGAUAGGACCGGGAAGGACGCACCUUUAGUGUACCAGUUAUCGUGCCUACGGUAAAUACUGGGUAGCCAAGUGCGGAGAGGAUAACUGCUGAAAGCAUAUAAGUAGUAAGCCCACCCCAAGAUGAGUUAGUCCAAGACGCGGAACAAC